UUUCAGGUUACUGCCUGACUCCAUGUCUUCUGUAAGGCUUGUCUGCUUGAUUUCUCUGCUUCCUUGGGACAAGUCUCCUGCCCUACCUGUUCUAAGUUACUUACUGUUGAUUUGACUGCAAAUGCUGGUUUUGGAGAUCAGACUGCAAAGACAACCAUUAAGGGAUUUAAAUCCUCCAGUAUUCUCAACAGAAUACAAUUAAAUGAUUUUCAGACAAGCACAAAGAUAGAAGCUUUGAGGGAAGAAAUUAGAUUUAUGGUUGAAAGGGAUGGUUCUGCAAAAGGAAUUGUUUUCAACCAGUUCACUUCAUUCUUGGAUCUCAUAAGCUACUCAUUACAUAAGUCUGGUGUAAAUUGCGUUCAAUUGGUGGGAAGCAUGACUUUGGCUGCAAGAGAUGCUGCUAUCAAGAAAUUCACCGAGGAUCCAGAUUGCAAAAUAUUCUUGAUGAGUUUGAAAGCUGGAGGAGUGGCUCUCAAUCUGACAGUAGCAUCACAUGUUAGU